rnacentral:lncRNA from 1 species
AAUAUAUAAAUUUUGCUAGAAAAUUUAGCAUCUCAAAUGUUGUAGAUGUAUUUCAUUUAAGCAUGAAUAUUGGAACUAAAAUUUGGUGCCAUGUGUUUUGGGAAAUUCGGCCAAAUCCAAAGGGUGAUUUUUUGGGUUCAUGUUUGUCUUGUUAAAAUGGUUUUAAAGUGACUUAUGGAACCCCUAAGUACCCUAGGAUAUUAGCCCUCUUUUUGAGUGGUGAAAAAUUGAGUUUUGGUGAGUGAAAACAUUCAUGGAGCUAUUAUGAGUUUUCAUGGUGUUCUUCAAUGUUCAUGAAGUUCUUGCCAAGAACAUAAAGUUUUGAAGUUUUGAUUCAAAAGUUUUAUGUUUUUCAUAAAGUUUUGGUUUAUAUUUGAUGGGUGAUGGUUAUUGAUGAAGGAUAAUAUAUAUCUUAAUUGUUAGACAAAAUUUCAUUAAUGUUUGACAAAAAUAUCUUACAAACUUAUCCUUAUCACAUUUACAUCACCUAAUAAAAUCAACUUGCAAAAACUUUUUAGAAAUUUUUCAUUUAUCCUAUCCUUGGCCGGCCAACCUUGCAAGUGGGGUAUUUUUGGGUCUUUUGUGCAAUUACAUAAAGUUUUAAUACUUUUGUGUAUUUGCACUUUGGCCCAAAAGUUUACAUUUUUUACGUUAAGGCCCAAAAACUCUAAAGGACAAAUUGUUUUGAUCCUUUAAUGAUGUUUUUACAUUAUUAAAAUUUUGGGAUCUAGUUGUAAUUACAUGAAGUUGUGGACUAUUGUGUUUUUACAAAGUGACCCCAAAAGUUUUUGUAUUUGCAUUGUGGCCCAAAUGUUGUGGUCAUAGUUUCCUUUUGGCCCAAAAGAAUGAGAACAAAAUUGUUUUGUCUCUUAAAUGAGAAUUGGAUUUUCAUUUCAUUUAGUUCCAUUUAAAUCAAUUCUAUGGAUCCAAAAACCAAUUGUUUAAAGUUGUUUUCUUAGUUAAUGUGAUUGAUUAAGAAAAGGGUGAUUAUGAACCAAAGGCCUCGAUAAUUAAGCUAUGUGAAUGGCCGAUUUACAUUAUGAAUGUUUGGGUUUAGUAGUGUAGAUUUGAAUGUAAUUUGAUUAAUUCAAGUUGUUGUAAAUGGACAUAAGUCCAUCAUUUGAUUUGUGUUGUAAAAGGGCAUAAGCCCUUCUUAUUAUUUCAUGUAUUCCUUUUUGUUGAUAUGCAUGCAAAAUGGAAUAGUUGGGUCCAACGCCCAAUAGGAAAUAACGGUUUAAUUGGAUUAAACGCGUAACUAAAAUCAACAUCUACCUACCUUAGACCCAAGGUCCAACACAAGGCUCGUGUUGGAUCAAAUUGAAUGGUUCAUAAUCAUCCUAAAACCUAAUAUGACUAUAUAGUCCAUAUGAGGAUGCAAUGCAUUCGUUAGUAGUUCCAUAUAGUCUCACUUAUUUCUUCGAAAUAGUGGGAGUAUUAUAAACUACUAAAUUUAUAUUAAACUUGGACCAAUAGUUGUGAUAGGCCCAAGUUCUUUUAAUGUGAUUAAAAUGUUUUGAUGUAGCCCAAAACUACUCCCUCAAAAAACCGAAUAUUAAGUUGAUAAGCGAGAGAUGCUUUGAACAUCUCUUCGUAGGCCUUCCACCGUGGUGGGCUUCAAUCGUUUGUGACUCAUACACCGUAUUCGUCCAGUUCUGGGGUAUGCAAAGUAUGUGCUUACAUUCAGGAGAAGCCCAUAAACAUAUGAUGAAGUGAAAGUAGGCAACGAGUAUGGCCAAUAUGGAGUUCUUCUGAGGUCAGUCUUGAACCCCUACUUGAACUAGUAUGGUGGGAAUAACUUAACUAAGUGCAAUGGUGCCAAUAUGGAGUUCUUCUGAGGCAUCAUUCUCUAGAGGCCAAAAUAGAUGGGUAAUUACAAAAGUUGUAAAUGGAUAAUGCGUUAUCCUCUCAUCAUUAUUGUUGCUAGCCAAUAUGGAGUUCUUCUGAGGUGGGCUUGGUAAUGGUG